rnacentral:rRNA from 1 species
GGAGGAGAACAACAGGGAUUGCCCUAGUAACGGCGAGUGAAGCGGCAACAGCUCAAAUUUGAAAUCUGGCCCUCUUUGGGGGUCCGAGUUGUAAUUUGUAGAGGAUGCUUUGGCAUUGGCGGCGGUCUAAGUUCCUUGGAACAGGACAUCACAGAGGGUGAGAAUCCCGUACGUGGUCGCCUGCCUUUGCCGUGUAAAGCUCCUUCGACGAGUCGAGUUGUUUGGGAAUGCAGCUCUAAAUGGGAGGUAAAUUUCUUCUAAAGCUAAAUACCGGCCAGAGACCGAUAGCGCACAAGUAGAGUGAUCGAAAGAUGAAAAGUACUUUGGAAAGAGAGUCAAAAAGCACGUGAAAUUGUUGAAAGGGAAGCGCUUGCAGCCAGACUUGCCCGCAGUUGCUCACCUAGGCUUUGGCCUGGGGCACUCUUCUGUGGGCAGGCCAGCAUCAGUUUGGGCGGUUGGAUAAAGGCCUCUGUCACGUAUCUCCCUUCGGGGUGACCUUAUAGGGGAGGCGCAAUGCAACCAGCCCGGACUGAGGUCCGCGCAUCUGCUAGGAUGCUGGCGUAAUGGCUGUAAGCGGCCCGUCUUGAAACACGGACCAAGGAGUCUAACAUCUAUGCGAGUGUUUGGGUGUCAAGCCCGGGCGCGCAAUGAAAGUGAACGGAGGUGGGAACCCUUUGGGUGCACCAUCGACCGAUCCUGAUGUCUUCGGAUGGAUUUGAGUAAGAGCAUAGCUGUUGGGACCCGAAAGAUGGUGAACUAUGCUUGAAUAGGGUGAAGCCAGAGGAAACUCUGGUGGAGGCUCGCAGCGGUUCUGACGUGCAAAUCGAUCGUCA